rnacentral:misc_RNA from 1 species
GGAAGUAAAAGUGUAACAAGGUUUCCGUAGGUGAACCUGCGGAAGGAUCAUUAAAAAAAGAGAAACGUCCCGUUCUUUUUCAUAAGAAUGGGUUCUAUUCCCUUAAACCGUGUCUACAUACCUUUGUUGCUUUGGCAGGCCGCCUUCGGGCGUCGGCUCCGGCUGAUAGUGCCUGCCAGAGGACCCAAACUCUAUGUUUAGUGAUGUCUGAGUACUAUAUAAUACUUAAACUUUCAACAACGGAUCUCUUGGUUCUG